GUCUUGGGCUUCCAGUGUUCCAGUGUGCCUCCGCCAUGGCGGGGAAGCAGCUCCCCUCCUCCCUCGCGCGCGCGCGCGCCGCCUCCCCGCGCGGCCUCCUCGCCGCCGCCGCCCUCCUCCUCCUCCUCCUCCUCGCCGCCUCCUACUCCCUCCUCCUCUCUCCCUCCUCGCCCGGUGGCCUCGCUAGCCCUAGCUCCGGCCCCGGCUCCGCCGCCGACACCGCCUUCCUCGCCUCCCUCGACCGCUUCCUCGCCUCGCCCCGCCGCUCCGCGGCCCCCGCCGCGGCCCCCGGCGACCUCGACGCCGCGAUCCGGGCCGAGGAGGAGGAAAGGCUCUACGGGGGCGGCGCCUGGCCGGCGGCCCCGGCGCCUCUCAGGGUCUACGUGUACGAGAUGCCGAGCAGGUUCACGUACGAUCUGCUGCGGCUGUUCAGGGACUCGUACCGCGAGACCUCCAACCUGACCUCCAAUGGGAGCCCCGUGCACCGGCUCGUCGAGCAGCAUUCUAUUGACUAUUGGCUGUGGGCUGAUCUCAUUGCGCCCGAAUCACAAAGACUUUUGAAGAAUGUUAUCAGGGUUCGGCGGCAAGAAGAAGCAGACAUCUUCUACGUACCAUUCUUCACAACAAUCAGUUACUUCUUGCUGGAGAAACAAGAAUGCAAGGCACUUUAUAGGGUGUGGGAGCAUCUCUCAAGGAAGCUUUGAAAUGGGUUACUGAUCAACCUGCUUGGCAACGUUCAGAAGGCAGAGAUCAUGUAAUUCCCGUUCAUCACCCAUGGUCGUUUAAGUCAGUUCGGAGAUUUGUGAAGAAGGCUAUAUGGCUUCUGCCUGACAUGGAUUCUACUGGGAACUGGUAUAAACCAGGGCAAGUUUAUUUGGAAAAGGAUGUCAUCCUUCCAUAUGUUCCAAAUGUUGAUCUUUGUGAUUCUAAGUGUGUAUCAGAAACUCAAUCUAGAAGAAGCACAUUGCUAUUCUUUCGAGGAAGACUGAGAAGGAAUGCUGGAGGCAAGAUCCGCAGUAAACUUGUGACAGAACUAAAAGAUGCAGAAGGCAUAAUCAUAGAAGAAGGGACUGCUGGAGCUGACGGCAAAGCAGCAGCUCAGAACGGCAUGCGCAAGUAAAUAUACAAUUCUAUUUUAUUUGUAUUGUAGCUGUUACUGAAUAUAUUUGACUGGCAGGUCUCUCUUUUGCUUGAAUCCGGCUGGGGAUACUCCAUCUUCUGCUCGUCUGUUUGAUGCAAUUGUUAGUGGUUGCAUACCAGUUAUAGUCAGUGAUGAACUAGAGCUUCCUUUUGAAGGAAUACUUGACUACAGGAAGAUAGCUUUGUUCGUUUCGUCAAAUGACGCUGUUCAACCUGGUUGGCUGGUGAAGUACCUGAGAAGCAUUGAUGCCAAAAGGAUCAGACAAAUGCAAUCAAAUCUUCUGAAGUACUCUAGACAUUUUCUAUAUUCAAGUCCUGCUCGACCUCUUGGACCUGAAGAUCUUACAUGGAGAAUGAUUGCUGGUAAGCUGGUAAACAUCAAGUUGCAUAUUCGACGGUCUCAACGCGUGGUCAGAGAGUCAAGGAGCGUAUGUACAUGCGACUGCAGAGUGGGGAACAGCACGAAGAUGUUUUGAAUCUACCUUCUGUUUUGUCUUUCCUACUUCCAUAGCUUAGCGAUUCUUUAGUUAUUACUUGCCCGGGCUUCUGAUCACUAAGGCGCUUGUGUAAAUUGUUCUUGAAAAAACACAUCAUAGUUUUGAUCCAUUUUGCCCGUAACAUGUGUAAUUGGGGUGUAACAAUACUUCGGUUGAAGACUUGCAGAUAUGCAGUGUGCCAAAUCCUGUGAUGAUAGAAACUUUAUACUCAGAUUGCAUGACACCCAAUGUUAAGGAACAAGAUGUCCUCUGAUGUAAUCAAGGUUUUAUUAUUUGGCACAUGCUUCA